rnacentral:misc_RNA from 1 species
AAGUCGUAACAAGGUAUUCGUAGGUGAACCUGCGAAUGGAUCAUUAACACUAAUGAACACCAACAUACCAAAACAACAAACAAGAUCCAGCCGUUCAUGCGGACGAUUGGAUCUGAGAACUCGGUGGGAAGAAAAGGAUCGAAGACGUGUGCCUUUGCAUGCUUCUUCAACUCCCGACUUCCUUCACAAUUUUCUAUAUUCCAUCUAUAAACAACCAUUACGAAUCAUCAGAACUGGCCUUUGAUUAGGCAUUUGCUCUGAUUCUAAAACCAAGCCGUCAAUAAGCCUCCCACACUUGUGUGUUGUGGUUUGUUGUCGGAUACAUUAACAACAAUUGAAUACAACUCGUUGCAAUGGAUAUCUUGGUUCUC